CUUCAGAUGACUGGGAAGUCGAGGAGGUAGGAUAGUAAGACACUUCAUCAGUGGCCAAGCAAUCAAUAGAUGCAAAUACGUCAAAUCAUUGAACUGAAUUAAAUUGACCUUCUAUCUUUGAGAAAAGCCUAAGGACAGAGAGAAAGAGUAUAGGUUAGGUUGACUAGGCUUGUAACUAAAUAGGAAGUCCAGGAGUGAGGAAGUUUUAGAUUAUAGCUCAUGAAAUCCUAGUCAGAGAUGCAGGCAUCUUUGAUGUGAGGAGGCUUCAAACAGAGAAAAGGUGCUGUUGAUACAGAUUUAGAGUUUGCUCACACGUGGACAUUUCCGUUCUCUUCAGUUCUGUUUGCCUUUCUCUGAAGGAGUUGUUUCCCAACUGCUCAGCAUAGUCAAGUCUCUCUCGCUGCUGGCUUCUGGUCCCCUUCAGUGCCUCCUUCCUAAGCUGUCUUACUUCCUUUCUCUGCUCCAUGAACGUCGGCAUAAUUUCCCACUGCUGUACUGAACCUACACUUCUGGCUUCUUAAGUGCCACUUUCUAAUUGUGGAGAGUAGGAAUCCUGAUGGUUAAACUCAAAUGUACAAGAAAUUUCACAAGCACAAUAGUCUCUAAAUCAACUUGGUUGUAGUUACCACGCACCCCUCACUCUGCCCUUGGGAUCAGUCAUCAUCAGACUCACAUGAUCCUCGAGGAACUUCACUUGGGGAGAGCUUUGGAGUCUUCUGUGACACUGGCCACAAAGAAGAAUUCCAUGUCCAGGCUGCCAUGGAGCUUUUCAGUACAGAUUCUGUGGUGCUGUGGGGUCACUAACUCCUGAGGACAAGACAUCUUUGUGGGAUCCCAACUGUGUGUCAGGAGAGACUCUCGGUAUAGGAAAUGAACAACAUAAACCGUGAGCGCGGCAGACGCACCUUCGCUUCAGCAGAGAUUGUGCUCCCGCGGAACAAGGGCUGCACACAGCAUUGCCGUGUUUGGAGCCGGCAAACACUAACAGACAUUGCACAACUGUGUCUCCCAGUCUCCAAGCCAACAUGAUGAAAACGGUGCAAGCUGUCAAUUCUUGGUCUCCCACGUUCUCCUCAUCUCGUUUCUUUUUCUCUCAUUGUCUGGAAAGGAGAGAAAAUAAAGACUAAUUAUAAUGUGAUGGAAUUAUGCAACUUUAAUAAUAAAAAUAUCCAUACUUCAGAUUGGCCUGUUCUAGAAAUGGCAGAAACUAGAGUAACUCCCAUAAAAGGCCUGGGCGGCAGCUGUAUUUGGAGGCCAGAGUAGUGAAAAAUGAAAAUAUUUAUGCCCUGAUAGAUAUUGUAGAGUUGACAAACGCAUAGUGAACUACAU
rnacentral:lncRNA from 1 species